rnacentral:rRNA from 1 species
UACGGGGGGGGCAAGCGUUGUUCGGAAUUACUGGGCGUAAAGGGCCAGUAGGCGGCCAACUAAGUCGGAUGUGAAAUCCCCAGGCUUAACCUGGGAACUGCAUCCGAUACUGGAUGGCUUGAAUUCGGGAGAGGGAUGCAGAAUUCCAGGUGUAGCGGUGAAAUGCGUAGAUAUCUGGAGGAAUACCGGUGGCGAAGGCGGCAUCCUGGACCGACAUUGACGCUGAACGGCGAAAGCCAGGGGAGCGAACGGG